rnacentral:tRNA from 2 species
GGUUCGAUGGUGUAGUUGGUUAUCACGUCAGUCUAACAUCUGUUAGUUCACUGAAGGUCUCCAGUUCAAGUCUGGGUCGAAUCA